AGCGAUAAUCUAAUAAGAGCUAAAUAGUGCAACAAAAUACCAUUAUAAUCAAAGCUGCAUUUUGUAGAGAAUAUAAUCUUUGAAUGCUAGUACCUGAGGAAUCUACUACAACUUAAUCUAAAGAUGUAAUAAAUACCUGUGAAGUGUGUACAGGUUGCGGACACUCCUGUCAGCAUCAGGGGAUAAAUACUUUCCAUCCUCUCUAUCAAGAUCCAAUUGGAGAGGAAACUCAUACCGGUCAUUUAUCUAUCAAUAAAAGCUACAUCAGUAUUCAAAAUCAGGCACCACCAAACGAGAAAGUACAACUCCUGGUGACAACAACAUGCUCACUUCAAAUACUAACCUUCACCAUGGUGUCCCUCAUAAAGUCAUAUUCAAACCUCUUGAGCUGGAGCUGAAGAACUGGUGGAAAGUCGAUGAAAAGAACACCUUUUUUUGCAUCCUGAAACAUUAUUCAUCCAGAAUAAGACUAGAUAAGGACUAAUAAUAACAGAUAUGUCGGUGAUUAUUAACUACGCUUAGAAGACGAUACUAGUUAAAAAGUUCAAACUGUCUCCUCGUUUCUCCCUACAACUCGCACGAUAUGAAGUAUCCACACCUUUUAAUAUGCUCGGUAUUCAAGGAAAGAAAAGAGUUGCUAGGUACCAAAAUAGGCCCGCUGUGAAUGACUCGACCAUCCCAGACAGUAAAAUGGUAAGAGUGAGGACAACCAACCUGUAAACCAUGUCCUUCUGCAUGAUAUUUGUUGUCUCCUUCAAGGCGUUCAACUUCAACAUAUUUGUCAAAAGAAGCAUAAACAUCUUUGCAGCCUUUAACAUCCAACUGAAGAUCUGCAACGAGAUAAAAACAUGACGAAUUGACAAAAACGUUGGUGCAAUAGAAUAAGAAAACAGAACCAUUUACCAAAUCAAGCACAUUCGUACAUGAUGCACAUAAAUUUAUUUGCAUGGGACUCUUGUCAAAUUCCGAAGUUAUAAAAAUAAAGUUUCUAGCAUACAACAAGUCAAAUUCAUUUCAAAGCAAAAAAAACAAAGAAACUUGUGGUAAUAAAUUCUGAAAAAUCAGAUACUUAGAUGCAAAGAUUAUAACAUAGAAAUAGAAAACUAGCGGAUGAUUAGAUUCUAUAACAGUUGGACUAUUACUUUGCUAUCAACUCAAAUGUCAAAGAAAAAAGAGAGGCAAAGUACAUGCAUAAAUAGCAUACCGGUUGUAAUUCCUCCUGAGGAGUAAGUGGGCGAUUGGGACGAUAAGUAUGAUUUUGUCGCUUUGCCCAGAUCCAGAACCUCUGUAACUGAACAGGUAUACCAAAUUCUUUGGCCACCUCCUCCUAUAUAUGCAUAAGUUUGGUGGUCAAAAAGAGUCAAAUUACAAGUACAUCAAGAACUAUUUAGUUAGCAGUAGUAUGAAAAUUCUCAUGAAAUCCAGAUCAAUUGUUCUCGUCUUCAAGGUAGAAUCAAGUAACCAGAAAGACUGUUUUCACAUAACCUAUUUCUUCAGUAGUUAUAAUAUAUUUAUUUUUUUAUAUAAGAUAUUUGGGCAAGCACCUUAAAUUGUUGAAAUGGCGUCUGUUUCUGGAUCCGGAAACUUCUAACUUUGUCAUGAUCAACAAGAUCAAAAUAUAUAUCCUUCCCAAUUUGUUCCCGGAGGUCUUGAUCUCUUGCAACCUUUCAUGUUAAUAAAUAUUCUAUUAGUAACAGUAAUGUCAAAACUAGACUCUUAAAUGGGAAAAACAAACCUUAAUUAUCGUAAAAAGGUGAGCUUGUGCCUUGUACUUUCUUUUAUCUUCCUUUUCUUCUUGUUCUUUCUUCAGCCUCACCUGUCAAAAUGUAAUGAAUUGGUCAGGUUAAACUAAGACGCACAUUACUGCAGAAAUGCCUGAAAACAAUUUACCCUUAAAUGUUCAGCAAUGUCUUUCUCAUCAACGUUGCAGAUUAUUUUAUCUUUGUCACUUUCCCGGAUAUAUACAAGCAUGUAUGCAUUCGAGUACUUUGUGAAUUUGAAAGGCGGGUUAUUGAAACCAGGAUUAGUCUGUGGUAGCUGAAAGACACCCAAAAAAUUAUGUCAGGCGAAGGAAUUAGGCAAUGCCUUUUUCCAAACAUAGAAAAUGUAGCAAGAAAAUGCAAACCUCUUCUUCACCACCAUAUUGCUCGUCCAAUGCCCUUUUCAAAUCUUCCUUGGUUACUCGUUCAUCAUCAAAUUUAUACCUGAAAAGUAGAAGGCUAGAAGCUUAAAUUUGUUUAUGAGAAGGAAAAGUCUAAGAGGAAUGCACAGAAAAAAUAUGUUAUAAUAGUUUCUCAAACCAGCAUCAGAAGAGAUGUGUGAUGUUGGUCUUGCACCAUGUAACAUAACAUCAAAGGCAGUUCCAUUUUUUAGAUUACCGGGUUGAUAAUUAUAAUAACAGAUUUCUUUAUGUACUAAACCUAUGCACCACAUAUUAAAAAGCACCACUCGAGUUUAUAGCAGAUAAGCAAAAACAAAACAAGAAGAAACUCAAAUUAUGAUACUCUAGUUUCUCUAUUAUCCAAAUAUUUUGGCUCAUCCAACCUAUUUUCAUGGUAAUCCUUUAUCUGAUGAAUCAAAAAAUCCAAAUAUAUUGCUUAUUCAAAUAUCUCUUUCAAGUAAUAGCUAUUAGUAAUAGGUGAAGUAAUGUACUAGUGGACUUCGACAUGUUUUGGACAAAUUGCUCAAACGUGAGACCACGAAAUACCAGCAGCAUAAGAUUACUAAAUUACUUUUCAGAAUUCAGAUUCGACUAUUUUCUACCUAAUAUGAACUUGCUCGAGCACUAAACUUGCUUGUUCAAGAAUAGAAAGAUGCAUACCACUGAUCUGAGAGCGUGGGCCUUAUAAAAGCGUAAUAGUGCCCACCAUGUACUCCUCCACUAUGAACUAAGACACUGCAGAGAAAAGGUAGCAGGUCGAAAGGAAAUGUCACAGCAACGAAAUGAAAAUGAAAAUGAAAACCUUUUCUUAUGUCUAGUACACUCAUAAGAUGUUAAUUAAAUAUGCAUGUACAGGGUAAAUAUUAGUUAAAUAAAGCCGAUUCCUCGAUUCCGAGAAGACCAGCGAUAAUCUAAUAAGAGCUAAAUAGUGCAACAAAAUACCAUUAUAAUCAAAGCUGCAUUUUGUAGAGAAUAUAAUCUUUGAAUGCUAGUACCUGAGGAAUCUACUACAACUUAAUCUAAAGAUGUAAUAAAUACCUGUGAAGUGUGUACAGGUUGCGGACACUCCUGUCAGCAUCAGGGGAUAAAUACUUCCCAUCCUCUCUAUCAAGAUCCAAUUGGAGAGGAAACUCAUACCGGUCAUUUA
rnacentral:lncRNA from 1 species